rnacentral:rRNA from 1 species
GACGAACGCUGGCGGCGUGCUUAACACAUGCAAGUCGAACGGAAAGGCCCUGCUUUUGUGGGGUGCUCGAGUGGCGAACGGGUGAGUAACACGUGAGUAACCUGCCCUUGACUUUGGGAUAACUUCAGGAAACUGGGGCUAAUACCGGAUAGGAGCUCCUGCUGCAUGGUGGGGGUUGGAAAGUUUCGGCGGUUGGGGAUGGACUCGCGGCUUAUCAGCUUGUUGGUGGGGUAGUGGCUUACCAAGGCUUUGACGGGUAGCCGGCCUGAGGGGGUGACCGGCCACAGGGGGACUGGGUAGGGGCCCGCCGUCGUGCGGGAGGAAGGGGGAGGGUAUAUGGCACAGGGGGGGGGAGCCAGAUGCGGAACCCCCGGGGGCGGAGGGGCGGCUUUCGGUUAGUAGACCACUUUCUCUGGGGAAGAAGCGGAAGGGAGGGUAGGGUAUAAAGAAGCACCGGCUACCUCCGGG